rnacentral:rRNA from 1 species
ACUUUACAAUGCGGGAAACCGUGAUAAGGGAACUCCGAGUGUCCGUCAAUGCGGACUGUCCGUAUGUUUAAAAAGCAUGCGAAGAAAGGGCCGGGCAAGACCGGUGCCAGCCGCCGCGGUAAUACCGGCGGCUCGAGUGGUGGCCACGAUUACUGGGCUUAAAGCGUUCGUAGCUGGGCUGUUAAGUCUCUUGGGAAAUCUACCGGCUUAACCGAUAGGCGUCCAAGGGAUACUGGCAAUCUAGGGACCGGGAGAGGUGAGGGGUACUUCAGGGGUAGGAGUGAAAUCCUGUAAUCCUUGGGGGACCACCUGUGGCGUAGGCGCCUCACCAGAACGGCUCCGACAGUGAGGGACGAAAGCUGGAGGAGCAAACCGG